CAGAGGGGACAUUCUCUUUAGCGAUGCUUUAUAACAGAAUUCCCCAUUCACCCCUCCUGUAGCUCUCUCCUCUGACUCCUGCCCCUUUGUCCGCUAGCGUCAGGGACCCAAUACCCCGGGACUUGACUCCUUGGCAACAGCUCCACAAUGUUACCGUUUGGGUACCUCACGACCGGAAGUGGCUGCGCCUGGCGCAUGCUGGGAAAUGUAGUUCAGCUUUCCCAUGGUCCCUGGACUGGUCCAAUUGCUCGGCCUCUUCCGACUGUAGAACGAAAGGCCAGGGGCACGUGGAGGGGCUGUUCUGAAGCCACAGGUGUGGGCGUAGCCUGCGCACGGUCACAAGCAGGCCUAGGCCAAGACGGUCCCAGAGCCGAGCCUGCUGAUCUCUAGCCUGGCCAGUCUCCGUGGCAACCGGCUUGCCGCUGAGAACUCUGGGAAUUGUAGUUGGAAGGGAGCCGGGCCCGCGCCCAGAGAGCCGAGCGGUUGCCGUUAGCGCUCGCCACCGGCCACUGCAGGCCACAGACCGGCACAGUGGUCAGAGCGAGUGCGCCCCUUUGGACGGUGAGGAUAGUCUGGCGUCCCGGGAGAUAGCCUCCUGCGUUACUUCGGCCGGCGACCCGGGUUGGAUUCGCGGGAAGCCGGGCCGCAGGAACCCGAGACGCUGCGCCUCUGCGUGGAUCCGGACCCGCCCCCUCCUGGCCUGGGGCGCCCGCCUCCCUCCGCUCGGCUCGGCUCGGCUGGGCUCGGCUCCCUAGGAAUGUGUUUGGCUGGAGUUUGACGCAGAGUCACAGAGUAGAUCCUAGUGAUCAGCGUGGGGCCACAGACUGGGUCAGAGUGGAGACUUUAUAUUUCAUCUAGCCCAGUCCUCUUCUGUUAGAAAAGAGGGAUCCGAGGCCAGAGAUAGGCAAUGGCUAGUCCAAAAUCGAGGGUCCAGACCAUGGCUGCCUGCUCGCCCCUUCAUUUCUAGCACAAAGCACAAUGCCUGGCACAGAACGGGCGCUCAAACCUUUGUCAAGUGUCAUGUCAUCUUGAGGACAGACAUCUGAAAUACUUCAACAAAUAAAUUACAAGGUUUUAAAAAAAUUUUUUUAAAGAAGAAAGUGGACCUGUAGAUUAAAAGACUUACCAGCCAAACACAACGUUGUAGGCCUUAUUUGGACCAUGAGUCUAACAGCCAUUUAUAGAGCUGCCAGGUUUCUUCAUUGGCUCCAGAACAAGAAUUUUUCUAGGGUAAAUGUCACCUCCACAAUGAGCACAAGAAUCCCCACAUAUCACCACCUUCAGCCAGUUGAGACCCUGUUCAAACGUGAAUCCUGAGAGCGCCCCCUUCCAAGCCAGUGGUGAAAAGCUGGAACCCCCAGGGUCCUUGUUCCUUUUUCAUGGGUCCUGCUGUGUUGCAGAGCAGGCAGAACGUCGCAGCUUACAGAUCCGCAUUGGAGCCACGUGUCGUCAGCAGACUAGUAUGAGAGCUCGGAAAGUCCAGAACCCAGAAGUACGCCAAGGAGAGUGACAGUCUCCUCUCAGCUGCCCAGGGGGAUCCGGGCCACAGCUGAGCUCCUUCAUUCCCGGAGUGUGCACUGUGCAUGAUGUUUGCUCUUUUGAAUUGUGGUGUGGCAGCUUUUUAGCCAAACUGCACUUUAUUGACAAUAACAUCACAUCUUCAUCUUUCCUUCAUAAAGCCUGGCCACAGGAUUUGAAGGGAACCUGUGAGAGAUCAAGCCCCUUUGUGGGAUGUACCGGGGCCUGAUGCAGGGAGAAACGGGGUUGGAGAAUCAAGGGAGCAGACCCGAUGAGGCAUCACCCCAAUCCCAGAGGAGGAGUGGCAGCGGGAGAGGUGGGCUGUGCUUCUGUCUCUCCCUCAAGAGGAGUCAUUACCUCGCUGUUUCUUUUUGCUAUAAAUUCUCAGAUCUGGGUGACUACAUUCCUUUAUAACAGGACUAUUCGCAUUCAUUGCAAAGCCAAAUGCCAACACCACGGAGCUGCUGUGUGCCCACGGAUCUCGCACGAGGAACCAAGAGUUGACUCCACAGUUGUGGACAUGUCCGUGACAGCCUGCAUCAGGGAGAUGUAAGCUUCCUUCUCUCUACAGUGUGGUCUGACUGCGAGCUGCCACUCUGAAAGAACUGACACUCUGGACAACUUCUAGAGUCUCCUGUCACCAUUGGUAUCCAUGGGACAUAGAAAUAGGGGGAGGCCAGAGGCAGAAUGACACUCAUCUGGUGCCUGCCAGAGCAGAGGGAUGGGUUGUUAAAGUAUUGAGAUGCUUCUGCUCUGUGCUCCCGAGCACCCUGCCAGCCACCUGGGUCACCCCAGCUACCUGCCCCCCACCCCUCAGGACCACUCCAGGAUCCAGCAUGUAAUGAUUAUCUCCUGGUCCGAUGAGAGGCCUCCAGGCCCCAGGACCAGCAUCUCUUCUAACCGGCCAGUGUUUGGGCCCUGGCAGUUGUUAAGGGGUUUGGCAUCUGCCUUGGCCUCAGCCACCCACACACACACAGGACAGUGAAAAGAUGCAGGUCCCAGCUCCACUGCAUACUAGCUGUGCACUCUUGAAUCUUGGACAAGUCCUUUCACUUCUCUGAGCCUCAGUUUCCUCAUCUGCAAGCAUCAAAUAAAAUAAAAGAUGAGGAAGUACUAAACCACAGGGUGCUUACAUCUCUAAGUUGCUGUUUUGCUUAUCGUUUAUGAUGCAUGUGAUGACAUCAGGACUGAGAACAAGAAGUUCAUCUCCAAUCAGGAACUUUCUGAAAGGUGAUCCCAUGAGUGACCUCAGGCAGACCAUUUAGGGAAGUUCUGCGGACAAGGCUGAGAGACACCACAGAAUGUUCCAGUACCUUCGAGCAGCAUCAGGGAGCUUCUCAGAGAGGAGGCUGAGCAGCUCCUGUUCCCAAGAGAAGAGUUUCAAGCAGGAGAGAGGAACGAUACAUGCCAGACUUAAAGCUUUUUGAAGAAGAACCACGUCUGUCCUUUGGAUUCUCCACAGCUCCUUUGAACGUCGGGAUGCUCAGGAGCUCCGCGUGGAUUGGCCGCGACGCAGCAGCCUAAGCAGACGGGUUUGUGGCUCGGGGUUACCUUUGCCUGAGCACUGGAGCCUGCCUUCUCCGGGACGGUCGUUGGUUGGUGGUUCUCUUCAAGGUCACACGGAGAAGAUCUAGUACUUAUGGCCACUCCUUCCUCCCUAGCCCACCCCACCAGGCAGGCCACCCAGAUUAGCUCCGAUGACCAACCGUAAGGUGGCAAAUGCUUUGUCCCCGUGCCUCAGCUCUGCCUGAGAGAAGUCGCUAGUUGCCAUGCAUUGUGCCGAGCCCUGGGAGGGACCUUGGGAGGGGGAGGCAGGGAACAUGCCAGAAAUCAGUAUUGCUGCAGAGCUGUGCAUUCACAGGGUCCUGGCUACAUACAACUGGCUCAGGGACCACCCUCAGUGUGAACUUGGAGCUCUUUGAAGGCAAGGCCUGUGUCUUAGCCCCAUCUGUGUCUUCACAGUGCCUGACCCAACAUCCAGCACGUAGUCCAUAGGCAUCAGUAUCUACUGAGUGAAUAACUGCGCCACAGUGACCAAGCAUCCAAGGAUUUCAUGGAGGUAACAAGGAGAACAGACAUUAGUGACUGUGCUGGAAUGUCCCACCUGUGCCUUUCCUAGCCCCGGUGAGCCCCUCAUCCCACUGGUGCAUGGCUAAGUUUGGGGUCCCAAGCACAAAGUACAGAAAAGGCCCCUUACUUUUUGUUAGUUGCAAAAUCUCGAUCUCCCCUGAAAAAAUGGGAACAAAUUCUGGGUAUAUACCCAGGGUUUUACAUAGCCUUCGAGCUUUCUUCCAACUUGCUUUAAAAGCUAGUGAGUCAACUACAUUCAUGGUAGGGCCACUAAGAGCUAUUCUGUAGUGUUGGCACAGCCCACAAGAACUGCAUGCCCAAGGGACCCAGGUCUUCCUCCACGCAGCCCACCCUUGACUUGGUGAACAUGCCAUCAGGUCAGUGAGUGUGCAGGACAGAAGGAAAGGGAGUGUCCUAGCCUGCCACCUCUUCGUCUGCUACCAGAGGCCUACGUGCUCCCCACUCCUCUCCGGGACACAAGAGACAGCCAGUCACCGGCUUCGUGUGCUCCAGUCCUGGAAGUUUACAGCCAGUCUGCAGAAUGCCCUCUCGAAUCAUUCCUCCAAGGCCAAACUGGAUAAGAAAUGGCAAAGACAAGUGGAGGAGACAGAAAUGGAUAACAGGGAGAGCCACUAGAGCAGCAGAGGACUGGAGGCAUGUGACCCUAACCUGGGCACUCCCGGGAGUGGCAAGGGUCAUUCCAAAGAGCGGUACAGGCACCUAGGAAAUCACUCAAGAAACUGGGUCUAGGUGGAAAGCUGUAAAGUAGAGACGUACUCUCACCCCAUUCCCGCUCCCAUCAAAGAGGACACCAGGAAAGUCCCCCCAGAACAGCCACGCCAGUAUCUUGACGCUCCUUAACUGGUUCCGUAACUGGCUAAGUAACUUGCCUAAGGUCACGCAACUAAUAAGCAGAGGAGCAGGGAUUCAAAUCCAAAUCUGCCCUUUGCCCAUGCUUUUAAUAGCUCUAAGUUUUUCCAUUGCAGGAUUUUUAAUUCCAUUUGCUGGGCUAACUGGCCUGUUUUCUCCGUGUGUUAUGUGGCCAUGUUGAAAUGGUCCUGUUUCCGCAGUCCCUUCUUCAGCCUGUCAAAGCCACAGGAAAGGUUCCUAACAGACCGAUCGCAAGGAACACUUGCGACCCCUAUUGAAACCACGUUCAUGAGAGACGUCAAGCUGUCGACUGGCAGUCGCUGGAAUUUCUGCUGUGGAAAUCGGGGGAGAUUCUCAAGUCAAGGCGGAUUUAAGAAUCUGUGGUUAUGCUCUCAAGUCCAUAAGUCAGGAUUUACAAUUUAUUUCUGCUCCACUAUGUCUGGGGCUUCAACUGGAGUAGCUGGGAUAGCAGGUAGUGGCCGGGAUGGCCCGACUGGGGCUCUGUGCCCGGGCCUUGGUUCUAUCUGCCAGCUUCUUCUUCAACUCCUUUCCCAUGGGAUCUGGUGGGGCUGAAAUGUCCAAAAUGACUUUUCCCUCAUGUGUGUGGUGCCUCAUGUUCUUCCGUGUGGCCUCUCUCUCCAGCAGAGUAGGCCGUCUUCUUGUGUCAGUGGCAGGCCCAUAAGAGCCCUCUGUCAAUGCUCCGCUCCAUGGUGCCAUCCCUGUGCUACCCACAGCCCCUUCUGUGGGAACUGCUGCCAGGCGGCUGUGUUGUACACGUGAUGCUGCCUCUGUGCCCUCCCCACCCUGACACAAAGCUCAUUGGACCAGACCAGGGUCCAAUAUAGGCUGGCCAAUGACUCUUGAAGUCGUCUGGCACAAAAGCAUAAAGAAAGCCAGUCAGAUGUGCACUUUUGGAAAUUUGAACCAAAAAAAAAAAAAAAGUCAGAUGGUAUAGACAGAAGGCAGGCAGGUCCUGGAUGGACCAAUGUGUCAGACAAAAUUACACUGAAGAAGAAACUUGGAGAUUGAAGAAAAACCCAAAAUAAGCUUUGGCGUGGAGAAAAAUCCACUCACAGUGGAGGGAAAAAUAAGCUGAUUUUUUAGCAAGAUGAUAGAGGAAGAGAAAGAGCAUCGCUAUGAAAGCAGAGGAGGGCCAGCCCCACAGCUGUCCUGCCCGCCUGCCCAUGGCUCACCAGGCCUGGCCUCGCCCGUGUCUGUCGUUGCAGGCAGCCUGCUACUUGUUCCCUUUGCUGUCAGUUGCCUUACAAGUGGGCAUACGACUUAGUUCUGCCAACCACCUGAGACCAAGGGGAAAGCCAACUUGCUGAGGAUGGCAGAGCAGACAGACGAAAGGAGCCUGAGUCCUCAGUGACAUUGUUGAGCCAUUAUGCCUGUCCCGGGAAUCACCCACUUCUGUUUUCUAAGCAGAUUUCUGCUACUUGCAGCUUAAAGCAUUCCUCACCUCUUCCUAGAACCUCUCUGUCAUCAACUCCUUAGAGCCCUGUGGCUCUUACUAUAGCUCCAGAUAGAAAAUCAACCCAAGUUUAGACAUUGGAAAUCUCGCUCAUAUGGGUAGAAAAUAAAAAUCAGGAUUUGUCACAGCCCACAAAGCAAGUCCAGAUCUUAGUCCCCUCCCCCAUCCUAUAGGACAUAGACAAGAUAAAAUGAAAUGUUCAGCAAGGUUCCAAAAAUUCAGCAUGUCUUCUAAAAUGGAGCUGAGUGAUAAAUUUUAGGAAGAAGCUCAGUGGGGGUUGUAAGGCCUGAGAUGCGGCGCUUCAGCCAGGAAGCCAUGGAGGCUUGUGGGAGCAAGCGGCAGGUUGGGAUGGGCAGCUGGUAGUUGGGGCGGACAAGUUCUGGAGAAAGAGACCAGUACCCACAGCUGGGUUUUGUGAGUUCCAUGUACCAACUGGAAGGAGUUUAUGGCAGGAACUAAACUGGUGGAAAACUAGACCUUUUGGUUACUCUCCAGUCAACCUUAGUGACAUUUCAGAUCCUCUUACGAAUAAAGUGGCCUGAACUGUGGCCCUCUGUUGCCAGUCCCUGUGCACCGGCACUCCCCAUUUUGCCAUUCCUCAUCUCCCCACCUCUCCUCUUUUUUCUCUACUUAUUCCUUCUAGCUUCUCUAAGCAAAGCCAGGAGCCAGCAAUGUACAAGACCUGAGUUGCUUCUCGAUUAGAGAGUUCCUAUAGGGGGAGGCCAAGAUGUAUUUUGGGAGACUUAGAAUGCUGGUCUAAGGAGGAGGAGCGAGGUGGUUGGUAGGAGAAAAGCAGCCAGUUGAUGAGACUGGAGUGAGCUUUCUUCUGGUUCAACUUUCAUAUGUGGAUUUGUGUGUGUGUGUGUGUGUGUGUGUGUGUGUGUGUGUGUGUGUGUGUUUCUUCAACACAGGAAAUGUACCUGAUCCUUCCCUUGGGAAAUGAGAAGAUGAACCAAGAGUUCUAGCCCUUCCCCUUUAAAUCUGUUUUUAAAAACAUAAAACAAAAAUAAACUGGCAUCCUCCUAAUGAGCUUAUAAAUGCAGAUCAUUCCACUCACCGUGUUUCCUAUUUCAGAAUAGUCUUUGGAGAUGUGGCCCUUAGAAGUUUAUCAAAUUUAUGGGGCCAGAUUCUGCCCCCAAGCUCAGCCCUCAAUGCAGUCCUCGUGCACGCUAUAUAUUGUAUGGAGCCCUGGCUCUGAAGGCCAAACCCAGUGCAAUGCUGAUGUUUGCCUGUUUUAUUACCUCACUCAAAAGAAAUGUACUGACUUCCUAGUAGGAUGAACCCGAGCCUAUAAAAGGACUCAGGAAGACAAGUCAUUAGAGACAAAAAGAAAUCCUAUGACAUAAUCAGAGAAAGGAUUGCUUUGGUUGUGGUGAAAAAAGUAAAAAGGCUUAAACCCCUACUUUGAUGGCAUUAAUGCUUUAAUAUGCUGCUUAAUAAAGCCUGAAUUCCCCCAGAAAGUUUCCCUGUGUAUUACCAAGGAUUUUCUGAAGUCCAAUAAGGAAAAGAACUGAAGGCUUUUCCCCAGUCUUCAUCACCGAGGUUUGUCUCCAGUAUGAAUUAGCCUGAUUACUGAAAAAAGCUCUCCCACAGCCUCUACAAUGAGAGCAAUUCUUUCCUGUGAAUUCUCCAGUGAUGAAAAAGUGCUAAGCUAUCCCCAAGUGAUUUUCCACAUUGAUUAUCCUCAUAAUCUUCUCUCCAGAAUGAAUGGCCUAAUGUUCAAUGUACACCACGCUUCCCCUAGAUAGCUUUCCAUAUUCAUUGCAUAGGACCAGUUUAAGUCCCGAAUGAAUUAGCUGGUAUUGUCUAAGGAUGGAGCUCUGAUUCAACCUUCUUCCUCAUCCAUUAUACUCAGAGGGCCCCUCUCUGCUGCAACAUCCCAGAUGUCUAAUUAGCUCUGAGCACCAUCCAAAAGCAUUUUUAUAGCCAUUACGUACAUAUGGUUUUUCUCCAGUGUGAAUUCUCUGACGUUGAAUGAGCUUUACUUUAAGCCCGUGCACAUUUAUGCAUUUGUAGAGUUUCUGCUGCAUGUGAAUUAGCUGACGCUGUGUUGGAAUGCUGACAGUGCCUCCCCGUGCCCUGGGAUUCUCUCCAAGAUGAACGCUACAAUGUUCAAUGGGAUGGGAGCCCCAAGGAAAAUUGUCUGUAUUCACAACAAAGAUGUUCUCUCUAAUAUGAAUACUGUAAUAUCAAAUAAAUUCUAAAUUCUGUACCAA